rnacentral:rRNA from 1 species
UACGUAGGGUCCGAGCGUUGUCCGGAUUUAUUGGGCGUAAAGAGCUCGUAGGCGGUUCCGUAAGUCAGACGUGAAAACUCAGGGCUCAACCCGGAGACGCCAUCUGAUACUGCGGUGACUGGAGUCUGGUAGGGGAACACGGAAUUCCUGGUGUAGCGGUGAAAUGCGCAGAUAUCAGGAGGAACACCGAUGGCGAAGGCAGUGUUCUGGGCCAGUACUGACGCUGAGGAGCGAAAGCGUGGGGAGCGAACAGG